AUACCUUUCUCGGCCUUUUGGCUAAGAUCAAGUGUAGUAUCUGUUCUUAUCAGUUUAAUAUCUGAUAUGUGGGUCAUCGACUCACACGAUAUUAACUUAAUUUUUGAAGGGGGAAGGUUCAUCAAGGUAGCUUGCUACCUGGGCCUUCAUGUGUCGCCUGGGCCUUACACUACAGCCUAGGCCUGGCGCACCCCAC